rnacentral:rRNA from 1 species
UACGAAGGGGGCUAGCGUUGUUCGGAAUCACUGGGCGUAAAGGGCGCGUAGGCGGCUGUUCAAGUCGGGGGUGAAAGCCUGUGGCUCAACCACAGAAUGGCCUCGAUACUGGGACGCUUGAGUAUGGUAGAGGUUGGUGGAACUGCGAGUGUAGAGGUGAAAUUCGUAGAUAUUCGCAAGAACACCGGUGGCGAAGGCGGCCAACUGGACCAUUACUGACGCUGAGGCGCGAAAGCGUGGGGAGCAAACAGG